GACGAACGCUGGCGGCGUGCCUAAUACAUGCAAGUAGAACGCACAGUUUAUACCGUAGCUUGCUACACCAUAGACUGUGAGUUGCGAACGGGUGAGUAACGCGUAGGUAACCUGCCUGGUAGCGGGGGAUAACUAUUGUAAACGAUAGCUAAUACCGCAUAAUAUUAAUUAUUGCAUGAUAAUUAAUUGAAAGGUGCAAUUGCACCACUACCAGAUGGACCUGCGUUGUAUUAGCUAGUAGGUGAGGUAACGGCUCACCUAGGCGACGAUACAUAGCCGACCUGAGAGGGUGAUCGGCCACACUGGGACUGAGACACGGCCCAGACUCCUACGGGAGGCAGCAGUAGGGAAUCUUCGGCAAUGGACGAAAGUCUGACCGAGCAACGCCGCGUGAGUGAAGAAGGUUUUCGGAUCGUAAAGCUCUGUUGUAAGAGAAGAACGGGUGUGAGAGUGGAAAGUUCACACUGUGACGGUAUCUUACCAGAAAGGGACGGCUAACUACGUG
rnacentral:rRNA from 1 species